rnacentral:lncRNA from 1 species
AAAAAUUCUCCCAAACCAAUCAUCCCGCGCCUUAGCUAAGAUUUCUGCAAAUGAGAUAACAAAAUGGAUUGUUCUACAUUAUUGCUUGAUGGCAAAAUGGUUGCAUAGAGAGAAGCUAGGUAGGAAUGAAGUAUACCAGGUGACAACUCCUGGCUGCAGUGGCUGGAAGAAGGCAGGCUGGAAAGAGCAAUGAACCAUGCAUGAGAUCGCACAUGUGAAGAAAAACGGAAAUGGCAUGCAUCCUGGUCGAGCUGAGGUAUGAUGAUUGUAAUAUUACCUCAUCCUCUUGUUAAAAUAGAAAUUAGCUAUCCGAUGGGAACGUUCUUCGCGUGCAUGCUUGCUGGUAGGACCGUACAUUUCUUGACGUGUCGCCUCCGUUGGAAAGGAGCAAAGCUGCCCAGAUACAAACAUUCAAAUGAAAUUGAUUAGUAAGUUGCAGCGUGGUCAUGGAUUGCCACUUGAUAGCGAUGCACUACUCGUGUGUGUGUGCAUACCCGAAGCCGAUGGGGAGUACGUUCUGCGGAUCCA